rnacentral:rRNA from 1 species
UACGAGGGGGGCGAGCGUUGUUCGGAAUUACUGGGCGUAAAGGGCGCGUAGGCGGCGAUCCUAGUCAGAUGUGAAAGUCCUGGGCUUAACCUGGGGACUGCAUUUGAUACUGGAUUGCUUGAAUUCGGGAGAGGAUAGCGGAAUUCCCAGUGUAGAGGUGAAAUUCGUAGAUAUUGGGAAGAACACCGGUGGCGAAGGCGGCUAUCUGGACCGACAUUGACGCUGAGGCGCGAAAGCGUGGGGGAGCAAACAGG